UUAGGGGAAAUUAUUUAUUUUUUAGUUAUUCUUAUUUUUAUUUAAUUUAGACAAGUAUUUUUGUUUGAGUUGUUUAUUUUGUUUAGAAAAUCAAGUCUUAAAUUAUAAUAAACGUGUUUUAUAAUUUAUUAAAGAAAUCUUGAACAAGUCCCGUGUUUUAAGGGCAUUGAUUUUCAGGAGUAAAUGUGAAUUGUGGAGUCAUUUUCAAAGUCUUAAAUUAUAAUAA
rnacentral:lncRNA from 1 species